rnacentral:rRNA from 1 species
GGAGGGAACCGCGUGGCGAGGCGGCGACCUGGUCCUUGACUGACGCUGAGGCGCGAAAGCGUGGGGAGCAAACAGGAUUAGAUACCCUGGUAGUCCACGCUGUAAACGAUGUGCGCUGGAUGUUGGGUGACCUAGUCACUCAGUGUCGUAGCUAACGCGAUAAGCGCACCGCCUGGGGAGUACGGCCGCAAGGUUGAAACUCAAAUGAAUUGACGGA